UACAGAGGGUGCGAGCGUUGUUCGGAAUUACUGGGCGUAAAGCGCGCGCAGGCGGCCUUUUAAGUCUGACGGUGAAAUGCCGGGGCUCAACCCCGUGCCCGCCGGAGAUACUGGGAGGCUGGAGACGAGUAGAGGCAAGCGGAAUUCCGGGUGUAGCGGUGGAAUGCGUAGAGAUCCGGAAGAACACCGGAGGCGAAGGCGGCUUGCUGGGCUCAUGUCUGACGCUGAGGCGCGAAAGCUAGGGGAGCGAACGGG
rnacentral:rRNA from 1 species